GGGGCUCAGAGCUGCAGACAGAGGCAGCCCACUUGGCUGGGCUUUCACACACCCGCAUGCAAAUGCUGCCGUCCUCCUGGGAACCUUAUUUGCUUAGAGAUUUCAGGGCUGGCAUCAGCUGUCAUAGUUGCUGCCUUGGAGGGUCUCGAGGAGGUGGGAUUCCACAGGAACAGCCACAAGUGCCACCUCUGCUGGAAGCCUUGCCAGGCAGACCUCGUGCAGCCAGCAGCCCAGCUUCCUGUGAGCGGCGGCUCCACACAGGCCACUGGCCCCUGGUGUCUGAGUUGCCCACUCUGGCCCUUGGCCUGCGUUUCCGUCAGGAUUCCUGUCU
rnacentral:lncRNA from 10 species